rnacentral:rRNA from 1 species
UACAGAGGGGGCAAGCGUUAUUCGGAAUUAUUGGGCGUAAAGGGCGCGUAGGCGGCUUGGCAAGUGGAUGGUGAAAUCCCUCGGCUUAACCGAGGAACUGCCAUCCAGACUGCUUUGCUUGAGGCCGGGAGAGGUGAGUGGAAUUCCCAGUGUAGCGGUGAAAUGCGUAGAUAUUGGGAGGAACACCAGUGGCGAAGGCGGAGCUCACCUGGACC